GACGAACGCUGGCGGCGUGCCUAAUACAUGCCAGUAGAACGCUGAAGGAGGAGCUUGCUUCUCUGGAUGAGUUGCGAACGGGUGAGUAACGCGUAGGUAACCUGCCUGGUAGCGGGGGAUAACUAUUGGAAACGAUAGCUAAUACCGCAUAAUAGUAGAUGUCGCAUGACAUUUGCUUAAAAGGUGCAAUUGCAUCACUACCAGAUGGACCUGCGUUGUAUUAGCUAGUUGGUGAGGUAACGGCUCACCAAGGCAACGAUACAUAACCCACCUGAGAGGGUGAUCGGCCACACCGGGACUGAGACAAGGCCCAGACUCCUACGGGAGGCAGCAGUAGGGAAUCUUCGGCAAUGGACGGAAGUCUGACCGAGCAACGCCGCGUGAGUGAAGAAGGUUUUCGGAUCGUAAAGCUCUGUUGUAAGAGAAGAACGAGUGUGAGAGUGGAAAGUUCACACUGUGACGGUAUCUUACCAGAAAGGGACGGCUAACUACGUG
rnacentral:rRNA from 1 species